rnacentral:tRNA from 1 species
AUAUUUUAAAGAAAAAAUUCUUUCUUAAUAUCUUCAAUAUUAAACUUUAAAAAAUAAGCUAUUAAAACAUA